rnacentral:rRNA from 1 species
CCUACGGGAGGCAGCAGUGAGGAAUCUUGGUCAAUGGCCGGAAGGCUGAACCAGCCAAGCCGCGUGAAGGACGAAGGUGCCAAGCAUUGUAAACUUCUUUUGUCAAGGGACAAAAUCAGGCUCGAGAGCCUGACCGAGGGUACCUGAAGAAAAAGCAUCGGCUAACUCCGUGCCAGCAGCCGCGGUAAUACGGAGGAUGCGAGCGUUAUCCGGAUUUCUUGGGUUUAAAGGGGGCGUAGGCGGACUGUUAAGUAUGCGGUAAAAGCCCGGGGCUCAACCCCGGCGAGCCGUUGAAACUGGCGGUCUUGAGAUGUCGAGAGGUAUGCGGAAUGCGCAGUGUAGCGGUGAAAUGCUUAGAUAUUGCGCAGAACUCCGAUUGCGAAGGCAGCAUACCGGCGGCGAUCUGACGCUGAGGCACGAAAGCGUGGGUAUCGAACAGGAUUAGAUACCCCUGUAGUC